CCUACGGGUGGCAGCAAUUAGGAAUCUUGCGCAAUGGGCGAAAGCCUGACGCAGCGACGCCGCGUGACUGAUGAAGUCUUUCGGGAUGUAAAGGUCUUUUGCAGGGGACGAAGGAAGUGACGGUACCCUGCGAAUAAGCUCCGGCUAACUACGUGCCAGCAGCCGCGGUAAUACGUAGGGAGCGAGCGUUGUCCGAAUUUACUGGGCGUAAAGCGCGCGUAGGCGGGCUAUGAAGUUGGGGGUGAAAUGCCGAGGCUUAACCUCGGAACUGCCUCCAAAACUGGUAGCCUUGAGGUAUGGAGAGGGAAGUGGAAUUCCAGGUGUAGCGGUGAAAUGCGUAGAUAUCUGGAGGAACACCCGUGGCGAAGGCGGCUUCCUGGCCAUAUCCUGACGCUGAGGGACGAAAGCUAGGGGAGCGAACG
rnacentral:rRNA from 1 species